GUGCUCGCUUCAGCAGCACAUAUACUAAAAUUGGAACAAUAGAGAAGAUUAGCAUGACCCCUGCAUAAGGAUGACAUGCAAAUUCGUGAAACGUUCCAUGUUUUU
rnacentral:snRNA from 1 species